UACGUAGGGGGCAAGCGUUGUCCGGAAUCAUUGGGCGUAAAGCGCGUGUAGGCGGUUCGGUAAGUCGGCUGUGAAAGUCCAGGGCUUAACCCUGAGCUUGCAGUGGGUACGGGCAGGCUAGAGUGCGGUAGGGGAGACUGGAAUUCCUGGUGUAGCGGUGAAAUGCGCAGAUAUCAGGAGGAACACCGGUGGCGAAGGCGGGUCUCUGGGCCGAUACUGACGCUGAGGAGCGAAAGCGUGGGGAGCGAACAGG
rnacentral:rRNA from 1 species